CCUACGGGAGGCAGCAGUAGGGAAUCUUCCGCAAUGGGCGAAAGCCUGACGGAGCAACGCCGCGUGAGUGAUGAAGGUCUUCGGAUCAUAAAACUCUGUUAUUAGGGAAGAACAAAUGUGUAAGUAACUAUGCACGUCUUGACGGUACCUAAUCAGAAAGCCACGGCUAACUACGUGCCAGCAGCCGCGGUAAUACGUAGGUGGCAAGCGUUAUCCGGAAUUAUUGGGCGUAAAGCACGCGUAGGCGGUUUUUUAAGUCUGAUGUGAAAGCCAGCGGCUCAACCGUGGAGGGUCAUUGGAAACUGGAAAACUUGAGUGCAGAAGAGGAAAGUGGAAUUCCUGGUGUAGCGGUGAAAUGCGUAGAUACCAGGAGGAAC
rnacentral:rRNA from 1 species